rnacentral:Y_RNA from 1 species
ACCUUGUCCGAAGGUCGUGAGUUAUCUUAAUUGAUUGUGCACAGUCUGUUACAGAUUGAACUCCUUAUUCUACCCUUUUCUCCCUUCUCACGACUGCACUUGACUAGUCUUAA